rnacentral:piRNA from 1 species
UGCUAUUGCCACAUCCCUCUGCCAC